GAAAUAGACGAAUCGAGAUCGUCGCGGUACCGCGAAAAUCGCGUAUGACUUGAGCUGUCAAUUCUGUUAUAAAAUCUGACAGAUAGGCGAGAUAAUCGCGGUUCGUGUAUGGAACCAUCCGAGGUCUGGUGACGAUUGAAUGUGCCAAGAAGAAAUAAUGUUUCUCAAUUUUCGAAUCAAAUUGGUUAUUUCACAUAGUUUAUGCAAAAUAAAAUACAAAACUCUUUUCCCUACACGUUUUUUCAAACGAAUUCACCAGAAAAAGUGAAAACAAUCGGUUCGCGCUACCGCGAAAAUCUCAGGAAUACCGAAGUUGGGUAUCUCUGCGAAUUAGCAGGCGCGAUCGGAGGCGCGGAAGAUUUGACAGCCCAACUGUUCUACAACUGUUAUAAACAACCCGCUGCGCAAAUUCGAGCAGUUUCCAGCGCAGAAAAUGCACCAAAAUCUGCGCUGGCCAGUGCAAAUUUUGGCCCGUUCCUCGCGCUGGACUUCUGCGAUUCCUGCACUGGGUCGAGCAAGUUUAGCGCCAUCUGCUGACGAAAUGGACGAACUAUUUAUGGCGGCGGAGCAAAAAAAACGGUCAAAAAAAUUUAUAAAAAUUGGCGCCCAUUUUUUCGUCCGCUUCUUCUCCCUCCCUCACCCUGCCCUGCCUUACUUGUACUUGCGGCGCCUCUGCCCGUGCCUUCCGCCGUCAGCUGAUUGGCUGUUGCGGUGUAUUCGUUGAUUCAUAUAUGUGCAUUGCGGUUGUGUAUUGUCAGUGGCGGAUCAAGCCUCUCCGAGGCCCUAGGCGUUAUGGUAGACGCUGCCGUAGACUUAUUUUAGGCAGCUUGAGGCGAGCGCCAAAAUUAAAAUCUAUUUACCCAGAGAUUCGAUCCGAAAAGAACGUUCUUAUAGCAUUCGCUCCUAUUUAUAAUCUUUCGGUUUACCGCCAUUCCGUUUCCAUCAAACCUUUUUCUAUCGUUUUGGCCGAUUAUCCUUCGCUAAUAUUUCACGCUUCCGAUCUCUCAAACCUAUGGCAUAGCUCUAGCCAUCCUACACUGUCAGUGCCGCUCAACUCUGUUCGUAACACUGCAGUUACAUUUUUUACUGAAAGCUAUUGAAUAAUACAUGGUUUUGUCGUUUCACUGAAUAUCAGUAAAACAAAUCACUGUAAAAGCAGCCUUUUAUUCUGUCAGUAGUAGUAGUAGUAUUUGUUUAUUGAAUGCAAUUAUUGCGCGUAUCGCAUUUUUCCUAUAAUUUUUAAUGGGUCCGUCAAUUUAGACUGUCCUCAUUGUUCUUUAAUAUUCGUUAUAUAUAACAUUGUUGGAGUGCUAUUUUGCUAAUUCUAGGAAUGGUUUUUAGGUGAUAGUGGGAAAAUUAUCACAAAAACCCACUGAAAAGUUUUAUGUAAGAGCUAAUCUAUAACUAUCUAUGGCCUAAAGUAACCUAUCUUCUUCUUCUUUGGCUCAACAACCGAUGUCGGUCAAGGCCUGCUUGUACCCACUUGUGGGCUUUGGCUUUCAGUGACUAAUUGAUUCCCCCCCAUAGCAGGAUAGUCAGUCCUACGUAUGGCGGCGCGGUCUAUUUGGGGAUUGAACCCAUGACGGGCAUGUUGUUAAGUCGUACGAGUUGACGACUGUACUACGAGACCGGCUCUCCUAUAACGUAUCGGCUCUCCGAAAGUAACCUAUCUAAUCCUACGUAAUAACUAACUAAGAAUCAUAGCACUAGCUGUUGUAUUAAGUUGUUGGAACUAUUACGGCACUAGUUUGUAUAAUUGUUGUAUAGCUUUUCAAUAUGGACAUUUAUAUAUUCAGUGUUCUGCCUACUGUGUAUGGAAGCUGUUCUAUACCAUGGAGGAACGGUAAUGAUAAUUUUUAGAAUCUUAUUCUGUAAUACUUGUAAUCUCUUUUUAUGGGUGGAUGCGCAAAAUGUCCAUAUGGGGGUAGUCAAAAGGGGUCUGUCAAAACGACAUGCCUGAGCCUCAAAAGAAAACAUAAUGCGAUGCCCGCUUGCUCGUGAUGAACAAAAAUUUGAUUUGGUAACCGCUUACAGACACCCCGAUAAAAUUUUAGGUGCGUAUUCGGCUUGCGGGAUAGUUUUGGUUGAGAAAAAUCUUCACACCACUUUGCUGUUCUUGCUGAAAUUUCGUGAUAUCCAGGAGUGCAUACCAAAUCAACAAACUUGUUUCGACAAAAUACAAUUCACAUCUGUAUAAAACUUUAUGAAACAGAUAUGAACAUGAGCAGAAUAGACUGCCACCCUGCGCAUCAAUAAAAACCCCAAUUUCAAUACUUUUUUUUCGCCAAUUUUUAAUCGAUAUCAAUGACUAAACAAUCAGUAAUAUCAGAAAGGCUUUGUGGUAUUUUCAAAUUGUGGGUACUAUGGAUACAGCUUCGAAGAGGACUUUCGACACUUGAUCGUCUAGGCGAUCAUAAAAACCUUUAGGACGUUGGAGUUUAGAGGGCUUGCCUUGGGUAAUUAUAUUCCUGCAGUGCAGGCUUACCUUGGGUAAUAAUAACAUAAGUGAACUCCUUAAAUGAGAAGUCGAUAGAUGAUGGAUGGGCUUAGUCCUAUCCUCACAAUCCGAACAAAUCUGACUUGUCAUGAUCGGAGUUGGUUAUAUUUAUACUCAAAAAAGUUAAAGGUCGGAAAGUUGUCGUUUUCGCUAAGCUAGUUACGUGUGUCUUUUAUUGACAAGAACGAUGGUUCUAAACGAUAUUUUCUAUCCUACUUUACAGUUUCCAGCUCGUGUUGCAUAGUACGGACAAUUUGAUUUAAAAUCGUCAUCGUGAGCAUAACAUGAAAACAAUAUUUCGCUUUUACGUUGGUGUUUACCUUUACAAUGAAUACUGAAGUACUGUUUUGCUUCGAGUUACGGCCACUUCAUUUUCAAUCGGGCAGAGCGAUAACUUCUUGCACGCGGGAAAAACAAUAUUUUCAUUCGAAAGUAACUGGAAAUACCCUGUAUUGCAGUAUGUUUGUCUCAAGUGAUCCGCGGACCACAGGUUGGAGACAACUGUUUUGAAUCAGCUGCUUUCUAAAUGAUCGAGCGCUGAGGGCCAGGAGAAUGCAUUUUUUUACACAUACAUUAUUAUAUUAUUACAGUUAAUACACAAAAUAACUGGUUUAUGAUAUUAAACAAUGUGAUUGGUUAUAUUGUUGUUUUUCUUAAAUUAUUAUAUCAUCCAAGCAAGUUUCAAAUUCAUUUUAUUAAAUUACAAUUACUAAAAUUGAUUGUAAAGAUUCUUCAAUUAAGAGUCAGCAGCAGAGUGUGUAAAAGUCAUAAAAAGUUCCAAACAAUUAAGCAAAAUCGCAAUAUCGCUUCUUAAUGUACCCUUCCUUCCAUGUUGCAAAUUGUUUUCAGGAUAUAUCUGAAGAUGGUACAAAAACCUUAACAGCUGAAAAAUUAUCGAGACAAACGUACAAACGUUCAGUACUAUUAUGAGGCCACGGAAAAGUAAGGCCAGGUCAGACAAAUUGAUAGCGCAUUUCCUUAAAAAAAAAAAAACUCCCAUGUGUGUAACCAUUGUUCUCGUAAAAUCAACAGUCAGUUUUUUAUGGAAUUAUUCGUUUCUAUUUUCUAAUUUCUCCUCAAAUUUGACCAUAUUGAUUGGUCGACAAUCCAUGUUAUGGUGAUCAAAUUUGGAGGAGUUCAACGAUAUGAAUUGUCAUAUUAAUAUAUGUUCAGUUAAUUUUUAAUGAAUAGGAUCUUCCUAUCUUUUAUAAUCGCGCAAAUAUUUUCUCGGGCCUGACUGCAUAUUGUGGCGGGCAGGACUUUGCCGAUCGCUGCCGAUAGCCUAAUUAGUUCAAAUUUUACGCGAUCAUUCAUAUCGGUAUUUCCUUUCCGUCGACCCUUCCAAAUUUGACCCAAACCCUUCAACAGCUUGCCUUUCCACCAUCACUUUGUCCAGUCCACAAUUUUGACUGGGGCCCCAAAAGUAAGCCGGGCACGAGUUCUUAGUUUUUGCGUGAUAACAUAGAGACAGGCCAAAUUAAAGAGCGCACACAUCGACAUCGGAAUCGAUUCUUGAAUGAAAUCUCCACAGAUAAAAACAGCGUGCUUGGUGUCAGCCAAUUUUUCUUGCUAAUUCCUACGGCUACUAACCGUUGUGAGAUCGGGUUCGGAGCCUUUUAUUGUCGUAUGUGUUGUGUAGGUAGCGCAGGUGUAGCCGCGACUCAAUGCUGUCACGUAACUGACAGCAUGUGAUGUCAAAAAGGCCGGGAAGGACUUCGGCAGCGAUCGGGUGAUCGAUCGCUGCGACUCGGUAUCAGGCUGCGGACUAGGAUGGUCGUUGUUUUAUAAAUGUUGUAAAUAGAGUAUAAGUUUUAUGAAGAGCCCGAGUGUGCCGUUUUAUUUAAGUGUGUCAAAUGUACGUCCCGUUCCGAAACACAACAGUAUGUGCAUGUAGUUUACGUGAGGCAUCUCUUGUAACGAAUUUUCGCUUCAUCCAACUCGUGCGUAGCGUUCAAUGCAUCUGAUAAAUAAAAUAAAUAUGCUUCUAAUAGGUCUGGUAGUAAUAGUAAAUAUGAUUGUACACAUAAACCCCGGAGGGGAGGGGGGGGGAAUGGGGGUAUAUUGGGUUGACAACACCAAAUGGAAGGGGCCCCUCAAUCGACGGGAUCAUCAACGGGGCCCCAAAUGGCCGAGGCAAUGGAGAUUGUUCUUCGUAUUAUGGCUGUGUAUGGCUGUAUGUAGACCCGACAGACAAAGAGAACGAAAUUUUCAGGCGAGGGGUAGGUAGAAACACGCGGUGGGAGCCCGGCCCUAGAUCGGAUCCAAAGUCCGUUGUUUUGGGCUCGAAAUUAAAAAUGGCGGAUGGAGCGCUCCCUGGGAGAGGAGUGCGCUCUCUCGUUUGCAUUCAAAAUACACGGUACGCUCUCUCGAAUUCGCGAGGUUGUUUUCUUUCAUUGUGUGAGUGAAACAUCGCGGAUCUUGCAAUGGUGUGCGUGUCGUAGCUUGCUGCGUUUAUUCAAAGCUGUCAAAUCAAACUCUGUUUACAAUUUCAUAUCGGCCAAAUAGUUGAACGCGUCGGAGUUAUUUGAAUAGUGGAACUGGAAACGGAAACAAAAUAUUUUACAGCCGUGCAUCGUUUGUGUGUUUGCAAAACAGUGAUAUUGUCCUGGAAAGUAAGAAGAAGUAAAAAUGUCGACACCCGCAAAGCAUUUGUUUUGUGACCAAAAUAUGGUGAAAUCGCAAAAUGAACCGCUGGAACCUGCUGUGCCAGUUAUAGUGCAUGGACCAACUGUUAUGCCCUUAUCUAGCGUACCAACUGGCCGACCAAGAUGCAAAGUGAAUCGAGCUAAUCGAGAAUCAUCCGUAACAAGUGUUGCUGAAGUUGUGUCUCCUGUUACUACGCAUUCUAUCGGUAACAUAUACGGAAUGCAGCCAUCGACGUCGGCAAUCAAUGUGAAUUCUACUGCCUCAUCCGUUGUUCCUUCGAUUAAUUUGAAUACGGCAGCUUUGCUUCCUUUUGGGACCGUGAUCCGGACCAUUGCAGCAUCCACGGCAGGUGCUGUAACAUCCGUAGUAGCAUCGACGGGAAAAACACCAACGUCAGCCACGUAUAGCGGAGGAAUAUAUGGCUUGCAGCCUUCGUCGUAUGCUGCUGUACCUUCAAGUAUCUCGUCGGUUAGAAUGCCUAGGGCAUUUAUGUUUCCAUCAGGAAAAUGAUCCGUUUCCCUGCACCAACGGUAUCUGUGCACGGUUCAGCAGCAGUGCCUACGUCGGGAACAAGUACGGCAUGGCAUAUGCAGCCAUCGACGACUACUACAACAGUAACAUCAUACUCUGAGCCUACGGUAGGAAUGCCGACCUUAGCUAGGCUUCCUUCUGGAACCAUGGUUCGGGGGGGGGGGGGGGAUUUCUGAGCCUUCAGUGUAUAUAAAAACACCAUGUGUGCUUCCUUCAGGAACCAUCAUAAGGCAAAUUGGACCAUCGGUAUCAGCGCAAAGUGUGUCUGUUGGGCUAUUGCCUCGAUCAACUUCAUCAACGCCAGCCACUUUUCACUAUACCGCUGCAGUUUCUAACAAGCAAAUGUCGCCCGCUGCAGAAGUUUCAUUUCUUUCUUCCGCCAUGCCUGCCAAGAAAUUCACAAAUGUUUGUAAUGAUUAGUGAUAUGUUCAAUAUCUUAAAACCUAUGGCAAAUGCACGGCUUAACGCGCUUUCGCUUGACAUAGAAAAAAUCAAAAGUAUUGAUGAAUUAGCUGAGUUGGAUAGCAAAUUAAAUGACAAGCAUUUUUUCUAUGCAACAACUCAGCGCAUAGAUGCUGAUAU